AUUUUAUUGAAUUUUGACAGUGGUCACGCCAAAGGAUGUGUCUUCAAUGGAGCAUGUGCUUCCCAAAUGGAUGAGGUUAGAAAGCUUGACAAAGGAUAGGAUUUUUUCUGCAAGUGUAAAGUUAGGAGCAAAAGUUUCAUCAUUGCCACAUGGUGACAUGUUGAAAAUGUUCAGGUCAUCAACUUCUUGCAAUGAAAAAUACUUGUUGCUAUAUAGAGAUGGAAGAAUUGAUAUUGUCCUCCACAAGUUUUCAGAUUCAACAGAUAUUUUGAAGUCAUACAUCCAUGCUCUUGUACUUUCAUAUCAUAUAGGUAGUGGCUCUUCUGUUAAUGCAACCAAAUUUGCAGAAAGCUCUUUGUGGAUGGAUAAAUACUAUUCAAUUUUCAUCUUGAAGCUGCAGGCAUCAGGUUGGGAUGUACGCCGUCUUCUUGUGCCUUUGACUGAUUGGAGAGCCCAUUGGGUAGAAACCUUGGUUGAUCAGAAGGCAACUUAACUUUUUUAAAUGCUUCAAGAUUGGCUAAAAUAAAAGUAGCCCCUUUUAUUUCAAGUUAUAUAUCAUCAAAUUAUAAAGCUAUCUACUCGAUCCUUGUGACUUGCUUUUCAGAAAUGAAAAGAUCUAGUUGAUGCUCGUGCCCUUAAUAUUUAAUCUUCAACCAGAUGUAUGCAAAAUGGAACAUCAUGCAGUCGGUAUAAUAUGAUGUUCGAAUUUUGCUCUCACCAGCAAUUUUACAUUAAAAAAUCGAUAUCGGAUUGUAUCUUAGUGAACUGCUCUAGAUCCAUAUAAAGUAAAACCUUUAUUUGGAUUGAGCUGCUUUAUAAAUAUGCUUCAGGAUUAGAUCAAUGUGUUUUGAAUUUAAGCUCCACUAUCAGAACUGAUUUUGCAUGAAGAAACUAAACCUGUAUUUGCGUAAGUGAACUGGCAGGGGUGGACAAGUGUAGUAGUUUUGCUUCAGCUCACUAUUGUGUUUGAAGUGGGAUGGUUUCUAUAGAUACCAUCCAGAAAUUCACGAAGCAAGGGUCAUCUUUUUCUUAGUUAAGCCCCUACACAAACUGAUUCGAUAACUUUGGAACAAUGAUCAAAGACAAUAGGAAAGCAUGCAACAUGCCUAGGAUUAUGAUACAGUUAA